GACAAUGGAAGAGCAAAAACAGGUGUACAGGUAAGAAGGCUUUGUUUCUUCGAUCUCACAAGCAUGGCUGUUGGGUUUUCUAAGAUGCCAGCAGCAGCUAAUAGGCUCGGACAUUUCCUGCUACUAAUGUACCUUUACCCUGACAUUAGCCUACACUCCUGUCAUGGCUUCAGACUCAUUUGAUCUCCACACACUGUUUGCACACUUAAUAAUGAGUCGAAUGAGGCUGAUUCAUUAUUAUGGAUGUAAAUGUACCUGUCUCAUAUUGAUCUCCUUUGUCCCGGGGGGGGGGGCAUUUUUCUGGGCUGGGGUGGCGUCUUCAUAGAAUGGCGAUUCACAGAGUGGGAGAAUGGACAGAGGAAGCUCUCUUCCUAGUAUUCUGGAGCAGAAGAUAUAUCCAUAUGAAAUGCUGGUUGUAACCCACAGAGGGCGCAGUAAGCUUCCUCCAGGUGUUGACAGGACCAGAUUAGAGGCAAGUCACAAAUAAGCACUAGUUAACCUUAGUUAAAAAAAUAAAA